AUGUUAGGGUCACCAGUGCUAUAAAAAAGUUAGUUUGGUGGGGAGAGGGGAAGCCAGGGUAUUAUAGUGUACAGAGCGGAUAUGGAAGAAGGGAGUGGGGCAUCAAAUAUAUGGUGCAAGGGUACCAAGUGCACAAGUCCUGAGACAAGCCCAAAUUUGACUUGAGAAAAUGGGGCAAAGAGAUGGGAGAAGAGGACAGUGGUAGGGUUUACUGUAGUUGGAGUAUAAGAGGGGCGAGCCACAGAGGAACACUGUAAGGACUUCAGCUUUUCCUCUGAGUGAGGUGAAAGCCACCACAGGUUAAUGAAGAGAAAAAUGACACGACCCGGAAACCGGAGAAUGGAAAAUCUACAGUGGAGAAAAGCUACACGUGUGGUGUUGCAAGGAAGCAGGCGGGGUUGGGGGUAAGCGGAAAGUGGAUUGAGGAGGCUGAGCACACAGAGGUGAGGGCUCACAGGGCCCUGUGGACUUAGAGAUGGGGAGGAUAGAGGUGGGAGGAUGCCUGGGAGAUGCAGGGUUAAAGAGGUGAGAGGUGGCACCAGGCCAAGAUGCUUUGAGGCAGGAUGUGGCCAGAGUAGCAGGGAGAUACCGGGGUCUGCGGGCAGAGGGCAGAACAGACUGUCCUGUGGAGCUGGGUUCUGGGCAAAGACUGUGGUAGAUCAUGGAAGCCACCAGGAGAAGUUCCCAUGUGGCCCAGGACCUCUGGGGGGAUGUGAGAGGUGGGGACACCUCCCAAAAGUGCAGCAUGGUGCUCUGGGUUCCAGGAGGUCAACAGACUGUCUGGCCAACAUCUCUCUUGUGGUAAAUGUGGGGAGGUGGGAAGUAGAAAUAAAGGAAACCUGGAAAGCUGUCCAGCCCAGGAAAGUCCUCACCCUGUGAUGACUGAUGAGGAGGGAGGAAGAGGUUUGGGGAGAGAGAUGCUGAGCCAGGAAGGGAAAAGGGAAGUGAAAGGCUGCAACCUGGGAUACUUCCUCCUCCCGGCUUCACCCUCCCGAUGACCUAGACCCGCUGAGGACUCACAGGGAGGAGGCCACAGAUUGUGGAGGCAAAAAGCCAGCGCGGAUCUGAUCAAGAACCAAGCCUCCAGAACUUCAUUUGCAAUUCGGCUGCUCCUUUGGCAAAAGGUCCCCUGUGCAGCUGUUCCACCCAGAGAGCCUCUGCCAGACUGCUGCUGCUGCUGCUGCUGCUGCUGCUGCUGCUGCUGUCGUCACUUCAGUUGUGUCCGACUCUGUGCGACCCCAUAGACAGCAGCCCACCAGGCUCCCCCGUCCCUGGGAUUCUCCAGGCAAGAACACUGGAGUGGGUUGCCAUUUCCUUCUCCAAUGCAGGAAAGUGAAAAGUGAAAGUGAAGUUGCUCAGUCGUGUCUGACUCUUAGCAACCCCAUGGACUGCAGCCUACCAGGCUCCUCCAUCCAUGAGAUUUUCCAGGCAAGAGUACUGGAUUGGGGUGCCACUGUCUUCUCCAUAACAGACUGCUAGUGACUAUAUAACAUCCAGCUGAAGACUAGCAGGGGGUACUCUUUCUGCCCCCUUCUGAUGCCUAUGUCAGAAGCUUUCUCUAUCUCCUUUAUACUUUAAUAAAACUUUAUUACAC
ensembl:lncRNA